rnacentral:rRNA from 1 species
GGAGGGUGCAAGCGUUGUUCGGAAUUAUUGGGCGUAAAGAGCGUGUAGGCGGUCCAGUAAGUCAGAUGUGAAAGCCCUGGGCUCAACCCAGGAAGUGCAUUUGAAACUACCAGACUUGAGUACGGGAGAGGAGGGGGGAAUUCCCGGUGUAGAGGUGAAAUUCGUAGAUAUCGGGAGGAAUACCAGUGGCGAAGGCGCCCUCUGGACCGAUACUGACGCUGAGACGCGAAAGCGUGGGGAGCAAACAGGAUUAGAUACCCUGGUAGUCCACGCCGUAAACGAUGAGCACUAGGUGUAGCGGGUAUUGACCCCCCUGCUGUGCCCGUAGCUAACGCAUUAAGUGCUCCGCCUGGGGGACUACGGUCGCAAGACUA